CCCUUAGAUGUUCUGGGCUGCACACGUGCUACACUGGCAGGUUCAGCGAGCUUCAUGCCCUGAUCUGAAAGGAAUGGGAAAUCUUUUCAAAACCUGCCGUGCUUGGGAUAGAUGUUUGCAAUUAUUCAUCUUCAACGAGGAUUGCCUUGUAAGCGCACGUCAUCAGCGUGCAUUGAAUACGACCCUGUAUUCUGUACACACCGCCCGUCGCACCUACCGAUUGAAGUUUUCGGUGAGUUGACAGGAGGAUUUUUUUGAAACUGGUUCGCCAGUGGAUUUUAGAUCCAAAUGCCAACGAAUCGAUGGCUUUAGAGGAAGGAGAAGUCGUAACA
rnacentral:rRNA from 1 species